rnacentral:rRNA from 1 species
GAUGAACGCUGGCGGCGUGCCUAAUACAUGCAGGUCGAGCGAACAGAUGAGGAGCUUGCUCCUCUGACGUUAGCGGCGGACGGGUGAGUAACACGUGGAUAACCUACCUAUAAGACUGGGAUAACUUCGGGAAACCGGAGCUAAUACCGGAUAAUAUAUUGAACCGCAUGGUUCAAUAGUGAAAGACGGUUUUGCUGUCACUUAUAGAUGGAUCCGCGCCGCAUUAGCUAGUUGGUAAGGUAACGGCUUACCAAGGCAACGAUGCGUAGCCGACCUGAGAGGGUGAUCGGCCACCCUGGAACUGAGACACGGUCCAGACUCCUACGGGAGGCAGCAGUAGGGAAUCUUCCGCAAUGGGCGAAAGCCUGACGGAGCAACGCCGCGUGAGUGAUGAAGGUCUUCGGAUCGUAAAACUCUGUUAUUAGGGAAGAACAAAUGUGUAAGUAACUAUGCACGUCUUGACGGUACCUAAUCAGAAAGCCACGGCUAACUACGUG